CCUGGGAUCAUAUAACAUGCAUAAAUAAAUUUAUGAACAUAGAUCUGAAGUCAAAAAUAGCAAGAAGAAGGUAUACUGGAUCGCUUUUCUUUCUUCCUUCGUCGGAUUGGAUCCUACGAAUCUUUGGGGUUGCUAUCGUAGCCGUGUAAGUAUCCGACCUCUGUUAGGAUCCACACAGAGAUGUCCCGAUCAAAACUCUAAAAUCUCUAAGGUACUAGCUCCUUUGCAGGCUACGUUCUUUGGCUUGAAUCAAGCCACUUUACUUAAUAUCACUUGAAGCAACCCUGUAUAGGAUCCUAGAGAUUGAUCCUAAUCAUCAAAAAAAAAUAAAAAUCUUUUCUUAAUUUUCUUUCUCUCAAAGGCUCUCUCUCAAAUCUCUAUUUGAUGUGGAGUAGAGGCAUGGAAGAGAAGGAAUGAGAGGUGGUUGGCAUGGAGAAGAAAAGGUAAGGUAGUUAGUGCACAAAAAUACUCAGUGAUUUAUCUCACGCCAAAACCCAUCCCCUUAAAUAAUUUUGUCACACAAAAUAUGCUGGUUUCCCAUGCCAACAACUGAUAAGAAUCAGUUUGAAUUAGUUAGACUUUAUCUCUAUCCAAAUAGGUAUCCUUACUAAGCAAGAAACAUCAAGAAAUCACCUCUCCAUACCCCUUCACGCAUGCACAAAAGUAGCGAGAAAAAUCACCGCUCACUCCUCUUUCUAAUCGACCAAAUGGAGAGAGAAGCCCAGAAAACUUAGGCUCUAAAGAUUAGGGUUAAUUUGGUUCAAGUUGGAUCCCAAUCAGAUCUAAAAUGAGUCUGAAUCGAAUCAAAUUCGAAAGACUGUCAAACCUGAUCCAAUCAUGCUUGAAAUUCAAAUCUGAUUUGGAUAAUUGAACUCAAUUAACAUUAAAUUAAAUCAAAUAUAAUUAAAUUAAAUCUAAUUUAAAUUAAUUAAGAUUUGAUUCAUAAUUUAAUUAGUCCCAAUUAAAUCAUAAUAUUUGUAAUUAAGUCUCUGUGCUAACAAUUAGCAGUUAUUGAAUCUAUAACACUGACAAAUUAGUAAUUUUCAAAUUCAAACUAUCAAUCAAAUUGAUAAUUUAAAUUUAAUCCAAGCCAUUAAUCAGGUCAAACUCUUUUUGUUGUAACCCCUCAGGCUCUAUUCUAUCUAGUAGUGAGACAUACCAUGAUCUCCAUCACAGUAUCAUCGAAACUCCUUUCGUUGGACCAGAAUAAUUCUAGCUUACCCCAACAAGGAUUGUUGAUCCAAAAAUGAUCUUAGUGAGUUCUCACAAUCCACCAGUGAUGCCUAGCAACAUGUAGUAACAAUCCAGCAGAACAGAAAAUAUAAACCCGUAGAUGUAGUUAUCGUGUGAUUCAGUUCCUCUAUCGUGAGUCUUGACUUGAUGAAGGUCAUGGAG
rnacentral:lncRNA from 1 species